GAUGGCAAACAGAUCCCCCCCUGAAAAAAAAUCAGGAGGUAAUAGAUUUUCAUGUGGAUAACCAUACAGCCUCAGUGGAUGAAGAAGACCACAAUGGUGAAGCAGAUGAUCACCUCAUUGAUAAUGCCCCAUUAUCAAGGAGUCUGCAUGACCUUCAAGAUGAAGGCGUAAUGCGUAACGCAGAUGUUGAGCCAGCUGAUCACCUGAUAGAUAAUGGCAAAUUAUCAAUAGAUUUCCAAAACCCUCAAGAGGAAGAAGUAAAGGAGAAUGCAGCUGAGUCAGAUGGUCAGGUACCAAUGGAUUCUCAUGAUGAUGCUCAAUGGGAUCAUGUGGAAUCAAAAAAUGCUAAUGCUGACCGCCAAAUAAACGUUGAGAGCAAGAUGGCAACAGAUCCCCCCCCUGAAAAAAAAUCAGGAUGUAAUAGAUUUUCAUGUGGAUAACCAUACAGCCUCAGUGGAUGAAGAAGACCACAAUGGUGAAGCAGAUGAUCACCUCAUUGAUAAUGCCCCAUUAUCAAGGAGUUUGCAUGACCUUCAAGUUGAAGGAGUAAUGCGUAACGCAGAUGUUGAGCCAGCGGAUCACCUGAUAGAUAAUGGCAAAUUAUCAAUAGAUUCCCAAAACCCUCAAGAGGAAGAAGUAAAGGAGAAUGCAGCUGAGUCAGAUGGUCAGGUACCAAUGGAUUUUCAUGAUUAUUCUCAAUGGGAUUGUGUGGAAUCAAAAAAUGACACAGAAGUGGACAAAAAUGAAAGUAGGAUAAUCAAGCCUGGCCCAAGAAAAUUCAAAAUAAAGAUCCCCAAAAAAACAUGGGGUAAUAUUAAGCCAAAAAAGGGAUCCACCAAACUAAAAAGGCCAUGGACAAAUAUAAUAUACAAGCAGUUCAGGAAGUACAACCCUUGCUGUACUCUUGUCUUCAAAUACCAUCAUGUUAAAAUGCAAGACAGCAGGAAAAGAUCAUGUCCUUAUUUGAUGAUCAAGGCUGUGUGUUCAUUUUCAACCUGCAGAGCAAUCUAUCUGUUCAAAAUGCCUAAAAAACCCUCAAACACCACAAAAUCAGUCAGCAUUCAAGUGACACGUUUUGGAAAGGUAAAACAUUUAAAAGGUGAGAUUCACUUUAGGCCUGCCAACUACAAUAAAAGAGGCAAGAUUGCAAAAUCCCUUAUAAGUGGAGUAAGCAAUACAUAUUACAAAAGGCUGUCUGAGACACCUUCUGCAGAGUUGAUGGCAGGUAAUUUCAGUCAUGCCCUGACUAAAGAUAUAAUCAAGGCUGUUUCAGUGGAGAUGAGAAAAAGCACACGACUCCAUGAUGAUGUUGUAAUGGAGCUAAUUUUAAUUCAACAGAUACUGAAAGAGAGUGAAAGCAAAUUCACAUUUUGCCCAGGAUACAUCCAGCAUCUACAGAUUGAUCCAUUUGGUGUUCACCUAUACACAGAGACAGGCCUGUCCAUUCUCUUGGAGCAUCUACGCAAAAAUUCAAAAACGACCCUUUUUCUGGAUGCCACCGGAGGAGUAGUACGUCGGCUCCCAAACCAGCAAAAGAGAGUCCUGUACUAUGAUCUGUCACUGCCAGGGAAUGGCAAAAACAGGCCUCCCUUGCCCAUUGCUGAGAUGAUAACAAAUGAUCACACUGUACCGAACCUGGCCUUUUGGCUUUUAAAAGUGACAACGAAAUUGGGCAAAUUGACCACACAUAAAAUCCAUCAAGUGGAAACCGACUAAAGUUGGGCACUUAUUCAAGGUGUCCUAUUAGCCUUCAAUAGGCAGGGUGUGUUGGCAUAUUUGGACACUGUGUACAAUAUCUUGAAACAAGGGUGCACUGCACAAAAGCUGAAGGCAACCACAGUGCUGCACUUGUGCUCAGCACACAUUCUCAAGGCACUCUCUGUGUCCUUCACCAACAAGGUGAAAGAUAAGGGCAUUAAAGAGUUUGCCACUCAUUGUGUGGCACUGAUGAUCAACAGCACCAGCCUAAACAGUGCUUUACAGAUUUUUGGCCACAUGUCUGCUGUGUUUUUAGCUGAGUACUCCAGUCCAACUGUGAGGAAAAGCCUCAGAGCUCUUCAGGACCACAUACAAAAAAAUCACCUCCCUGAUGACAUCGCUAGUGACUUUUUAAAACCAGAAGACACUGAGCCCUCAAGGAAAGCCAACACUCUCCUCAGAAACUCCCCAUUCCACGUAGACUUCAAAACAGUCCAGAGAAAUGUGGAGUCCAUGUUAGAGGAAGAGGACAACAAAACGGAGGAAAAUCCGUACCACUGUCCGGAGGUCAUAAAUGUCCUGUUCCGGGACUACUUGGGGAUAUUCCCCCUUUGGUCAGGUGUCAUGCUGGGUGAUUUGGCCAUGUAUGCUACUGAUGCACCUUCGAAAGAGAAAGCAGAGAGUGCUUGCACCAGGCAAACAAACUGCCAUGCAGAGAACUGGUUUGGGAUAGUAAAGAACAACAUACUUCAAAAAGAACGUUUUCUGCGGCCUGGAGUAUUCAUUCAGAAGCUACAUGCCUCUCUGAGAGCACGCUACAUGGAGCAUAGUCUCCAAUAUGGUUUAACACUGAACCAAAAGCCAUUGAGGUGUAGGGUUGACUUGUUGGAUCACUCUGAAGAGCAGUGGGCAAAGAGAACUGUAACCUCUCGUCAAACAAAAACAAAAUACUUUGACCCUCCCAAGAACCUUCCAACUCCAAAGGCAGUAAAAUGGAAAAAGAUGAAAGCAACAAGACAGAAAUCCAAGAACACCGCCAAUAAGAAUACAAGUGAGGAAGAGAAACACAAAGAUUUUCAAACAAAGAAAACUGCAAAGAGGGAAGAUGGAAGCAAACGCAGCAAGCUCAGUGGAAAGAACACUGCCAAUACAAACACAAGUGAUGAAGAGAAACACAAAGAUUUUCAAACAAAGAAAACUGCAAAGGUAAGAAUUAUGGAUUUUUAAGUUCACAUUGACACCAUCAUCAUU